rnacentral:rRNA from 1 species
GGGUUGUGAGGUUAAGCGACUAAGCGUACACGGUGGAUGCCCUGGCAGUCAGAGGCGAUGAAGGACGUGCUAAUCUGCGAUAAGCGCCGGUAAGGUGAUAUGAACCGUUAUAACCGGCGAUUUCCGAAUGGGGAAACCCAGUGUGACUCGUCACACUAUCAUUAACUGAAUCCAUAGGUUAAUGAGGCGAACCGGGGGAACUGAAACAUCUAAGUACCCCGAGGAAAAGAAAUCAACCGAGAUUCCCCCAGUAGCGGCGAGCGAACGGGGAUGAGCCCAGAGCCUGAAUCAGCAUGUGUGUUAGUGGAAGCGUCUGGAAAGGCGCGCGAUACAGGGUGACAGCCCCGUACACAAAAGCGCAUAUGCUGUGAGCUCGAUGAGUAGGGCGGGACACGUGGUAUCCUGUCUGAAUAUGGGGGGACCAUCCUCCAAGGCUAAAUACUCCUGACUGACCGAUAGUGAACCAGUACCGUGAGGGAAAGGCGAAAAGAACCCCGGCGAGGGGAGUGAAAAAGAACCUGAAACCGUGUACGUACAAGCAGUGGGAGCCCCACCACUAAGCCAGUGGUGAACUCCACAUACGCAUCCUUUGCUGAGGAUGCGGUUAACGGAGCGAAAGCGACGUUCAACCGCAAAAGAAGCAGAGGGGGCUUAGUGGUGGGGUGACUGCGUACCUUUUGUAUAAUGGGUCAGCGACUUAUAUUCUGUAGCAAGGUUAACCGAAUAGGGGAGCCGGAGGGAAACCGAGUCUUAAUUGGGCGUUAAGUUGCAGGGUAUAGACCCGAAACCCGGUGAUCUAGCCAUGGGCAGGUUGAAGGUUGGGUAACACUAACUGGAGGACCGAACCGACUAAUGUUGAAAAAUUAGCGGAUGACCUGUGGCUGGGGGUGAAAGGCCAAUCAAACCGGGAGAUAGCUGGUUCUCCCCGAAAGCUAUUUAGGUAGCGCCUCGUGAAUUCAUCUCCGGGGGUAGAGCACUGUUUCGGCUAGGGGGCCAUCCCGGCUUACCAACCCGAUGCAAACUGCGAAUACCGGAGAAUGUUAUCACGGGAGAC